rnacentral:lncRNA from 1 species
AACAGCAGCAGGAGCAGUAGCAGUGGUGGUGGUGGUGGUGGUAAUAGUGUAGCAGCAGCAGCAGUACUAUUUAUACUAAUAGUAGCCAUAACAGUAACAGCACUGGCAACAGCAGUAGCAGCAGUAGUAAGGAGUAUGGAAGGACGCUAUAACACUACCAUUAUCCCUUCCACAUUGCAACUUUCCCCAUAGCGGUGAUGUGUCAUCAGCAGGCGAGAGAAAUUAAAGGGGGAUUUGAGGAGAGUUUUUCAGAAGCCAAAGAUAACAUAAGAAGACUAGCAGAUGACACAGAGCCUAUGACCAAAUACUUAGCCCAGAUUUUACAGGAGGUUCCUAUAAACACCUCAUGAGAGAAAAAGAAAAAAAUCAGACUUCUUCUUUAGUAUGAAGAUAGGGUCAAAAAAUCUUGUGUAGAUUUUCCAGAUCAGAGAGGCUCUGCUCCCCAACCCCUGUGAUGUGGAAGAGGAUAACUGUAAUUAGCACCAGAACCAGAAUUCCAGAGGACUGAUGGUGACUAAUACUUCCUGCCUAUCAACAGAGAAGUGAUGGACUUUUGGUAUAGAACGAGACAUACACUGUCACAUGUGGCCCUGUGUAAGUUGCUUGGUUUUGCUCUAUUUCUUGGUUACAUUUGUUACAUAUCUUUGUUUCUUUGUACCUAUGGGAGAGAGGGUAGGCAAGUCAUUGUGAAGUUUCAACAGUGUUAAAAAGCCCGAGUCCUCCCUACAGAGGUUUCAUGAGACAAAGAAACCGAGAGGGUCUUCACAAACAACAGAACCCCAGUGCAAAACAUUUCAAAAGAAAAGAAUUCUUGCUAAGUGCAAAAAAUACUGUAUCAAGAAUACUGUCCUGCCAUUGUUUGUCUCUAAACUUUGCUGCUGCUGAAAUCCCAAGGACAAAGGGACAGGAAACAGGAUUGUUCUGGAACAGUCUGGAUGUUAUUCUACCGAGCAUGUUGAUAAAACACAGCUCCUGCACUCUGAGCCAAGGUGGAAGGGAUAGUGUACAUGUGAGAAUGGGCUCAGAUUGGAACCUGGUCUUUUGUUUUGUUCAUCAGCACGGGCCAGCAGCUAUUGACUACAAAAGACCCACUGUGGAAGAUAUUCUAAGGUACAGAGAGAUCGGGACCCUAUCCUCCAGAUGAGUAUAAUUAAGAUCGGAGCUUUUGAUCUGGAAGAUAACUCAGAGGGCACUUAGUCAAACUCCAUCACUUUACAAACAAGGAAACUGAGGUUCAGAGAUGGAAUAACUUUCCCAGAGCCAUUUCAGUAACAGAUCUUGAACCCAGAUGUCAUUACUCCAAAUCCAGAUCCUUUCCACUGUGGUUAAUCCUUAGACUUACCACUAAUUCACAAGCUCAGGACUUCAGAACUUUCCAAUAUUAUCUAUUCCAAUGCUUCAUUUUGCAUGUGAAUAGACUAAAACGCAGGGUGUUGUGGAGAUGCCAUAUCCAAGGUCAUGGGCACUUACCAAAGAGCCAUCAUCAUCACCAUCACCAUUAUAUUAUUGUUG